rnacentral:rRNA from 1 species
AAGACAGAGGUGAAAUCCCUGGGCUCAACCUAGGAAUGGCCUUUGUGACUGCAAGGCUGGAGUGCGGCAGAGGGGGAUGGAAUUCCGCGUGUAGCAGUGAAAUGCGUAGAUAUGCGGAGGAACACCGAUGGCGAAGGCAAUCCCCUGGGCCUGUACUGACGCUCAUGCACGAAAGCGUGGGGAGCAAACAGGAUUAGAUACCCUGGUAGUCCACGCCCUAAACGAUGUCAACUGGUUGUUGGGUCUUCACUGACUCAGUAACGAAGCUAACGCGUGAAGUUGACCGCCUGGGGAGUACGGCCGCAAGGUUAAAACUCAAAGGAAUUGACGGGGACCCGCACAAGC